GAGCGUUUGAAUGACUCCGGACACAAUCGGCGCCACACGCAGAUCAUCGGUGACGACGAAAGACAACGGGCUGAUGGUGAAAGCUGCGGCGUUUAGACAUCCCACAACGCGUUCUUCUCUGUUCAAGGAUUUCCCACAAUCACAAGCAGCUAUAUCAGAAUACAUGCUGAUAUUCCUUGAACCUGAUUUCGGACAAUGAUGGUCUUGACAAACGAAGUAUCGGUUAGUAUCGCUGUCAGU
rnacentral:lncRNA from 1 species